rnacentral:lncRNA from 1 species
UCACAAGCUAUGUUCCCCUUUUAAGCAUUUCUUCAUAGUUCUCUAUCGACUCCAGCCUCUGAAGAAGUAAUCGCUGCUUGAAUUUCUUGAUGAAUGCCUCAGCACUUUCAUUUAUAUCUUCUGUUGUCUUCCUCUCGAGCUUCCUUGUUUGUGGCAUCGGGUUUUUUGCCGGAGUCACAUUGGCUGCCUUGUCGUGCUGCAAAUCCAUAUUUCUAAGUUCGUUAUUUUCUUCUUCGGCUACUCGUGAUUGG